AUUGCUUCUUGGCCUUUUGGUUAAGAUCAAGUGUAGUAUCUGUUCUUAUCAGUUUAAUAUCUGAUACAUCCUCUAUCCGAGGACAAUAUAAUUAAUGGAUUUUUGGAACAGGAAAAUGGAAUAGGAGCUUGCUCUGUCCACUCCACGCAUCAGCCUGGUGUUGCAGUACCUCCAGGAACAGUGCACCAGAA
rnacentral:snRNA from 1 species